GGAUGCGAUCAUAGCAGCACUAAAGCACCGGAUCCCAUCAGAACUCCGAAGUUAAGCGUGCUUAGGUGAGAGUAGUACUAGGAUGGGUGACCUCGUGUUGCAUUCC
rnacentral:rRNA from 1 species